rnacentral:rRNA from 1 species
UACAGAGGUCUCAAGCGUUGUUCGGAUUCAUUGGGCGUAAAGAGCGUGUAGGCGCCAGACAGGUCCGUUGUGAAAACUAGAGGCUUAACCUCUAGACGUCGAUGGAAACCGUCUGGCUAGAGUCCGGAAGAGGAGAAUGGAAUUCCUGGUGUAGCGGUGAAAUGCGCAGAUAUCAGGAAGAACACCCGUGGCUAAGGCGGCAUCCUGGACCGGGAUUGACACUGAGGCGCGAAAGCCAGGGGAGCAAACGGG